ACCAGAGUGGACUUACCGCUGGUGUACCAGUUGUCUUGCCAAAGGCAUCGCUGGGUAGCUAUGUAGGGAAGGGAUAAACGCUGAAAGCAUCUAAGUGUGAAACCCACCUCAAGAUGAGAUUUCCCAUGAUUAUAUAUCAGUAAGAGCCCUGAGAGAUGAUCAGGUAGAUAGGUUAGAAGUGGAAGUGUGGCGACACAUGUAGCGGACUAAUACUAAUAGCUCGAGGACUUAUCCAA
rnacentral:rRNA from 1 species